rnacentral:lncRNA from 10 species
GGUACCGGAAGUGCUAGCCACAGCGACUUCAGGUAGUCUCGGUCUUAGCGGAUUCCGCGGACUUUCUUGUCUUUCUGCGUACUGCACUAACUGAGCGACCAAUUGAUACCUAAGUUUAGCUGAACUUUUUGUUGAAUUAAUUAAAACUGUUUUGAAAUCUAUUCUGUAAGAGCCUGAGAAAAAUUGCGGCCACAGAAGCUGUUUUGAAAUGCGCUUGGCUUCCGACUUCCGCAAGGGGAGGCAGCUGUUUCUUGUAGACCUGGACUUAAUCUCAGCUGGUGUACAGAGUUCUCUCCAAAAACAAGUGGCCUACUUCACAUUCAGUGAAUUGAUAUAUUCUUAUUUUAAGUUAUCAGGAAAAAAAGUCCUUGGGAAUUGAGAAGCCAAUGAGAUUAGUCGUUCAAGCUGAAGUCAUUCUAUCUGCUAGCUGUCUGGAGCCACUGAAGCUGUGGGCGAACAGCAACAAGUUUAAGCUACAUCUGCACACUCUGCGGUCCAUCCAGAGACCAAGAAAGAAGCACAAGGAUCCUGCAGAGUCUUCCGAAGCCCAAGCCAAAUAUAUGAGGCAGGGAGCUAGAGAAUGUGGAGGAAGUGGUCAGUAGGAAAAGGAAUGGGAACAGACAUUCUCCUUCAGAAACUUGAGGUCCAGUCCCUGAACUUUAGCUGGCCCCAAAACUUGAGCAAGCUCUAAAAAGCAGAACAUCUCCCACUUAACAGUUUAUUCUGAGAACUGGCCAACCACAGGAGGGAAAAUCAUAUCUCCAGUUAAAGUGCCCUGAUCAUGCCAUCUGCUCAUCCUACCCCCUUUGCCCUGCUCCCACACAAAGUUCCUGCUAGCCCUGUUUACGUCUUCUUUUUUAAACUCUUUUUUUAAAAUUUGAUUUUUAGACAUUUGAAGAUUUCCAUGGUCAGAGGGUCUGUAAUAGUCUUUUUUGAAUAAAGCUGCUCCUUACCUAAAUCCAGAUUUGUUUUCAUUGAAUAUAAUAAUAAAUGACCAUAUUACUUUCACC